GGCGUUCAUGCUCGUCGGCGGGACGGUGCAAGGCGCAACUCCGACGCGGUCGCGUGGUGGAUGUGCGGUGUAGGAAGCGGUUCCUUGCCGGUUGGACGGCGUUCACGCGCAACCCCGGCGUGCAGUGAGUACUGCCUCGGCUACAACCUCCCUCGGUUAUAUCUGAUAUCAUUGAGAGGAGUAGGCCAACAUCCCUACCUCCCUCUUCAACUCCCACCCAACACAAUUGUGGUUGGUCCGCUGUCUACAGGUGCUCGUUAUUCUGGCCAGUUUGUCGUGCUCUGUCUUCGACCACCUCUUUGCAGGUUGUCCCCUUCUCCCCCUCUCUUCUAUGCUUUCCAGGCCUAGGCUUACAUUUCUUCCUGUAUGAAGCUGCUGUUAGAUUGUGUUUGGACAAUGGAUGUAUGUGCUUUUUGUCCUCUUAUUCGUAGAAGCCUAGCACCUAAAUUAUUGUUCCCUGCUUGUAUUUUUGUGCUUGCUUGGCAUUCGGAAAUGGGGAUUUUUGUCACUUCUCUAGAUCCUGGUAGGACCUAUGCUUUCUUGUACCUUUCUGCUGUGUCCUAGAAGUAGCCUAAUGAUUUGUUUGUUGGA